ACACACAGGUCAUUUUGUGUCUGGAAGAUUACAUUAUUGUAAUUUUUAAGUUUCUUAUGUGCUAUAUAAAUAGUUGAGGGUUAAUCAACAGAAUAACUGUACAUAGGAAUGUUGCCAGUCUCAGACAAGA
rnacentral:snoRNA from 1 species